CGCGUGGUUACCUGCCCAUUAGUGGGGAAUAAGCUGGAGAAAUUUACAGUCUAAUACCGCAUAAUCUCUUCGGAGGAAAGUGGGGAUCUUCGGACCUCACGCUGAUGGAUGGGACCGCGUUGGAUUAGCUAGUUGGUGAGGUAAUGGUCUCACCAAGGCGAUGAUCCAUAGCUGGUUUGAGAGGAUGAUCAGCCACACUGGGACUGAGACACGGCCCAGACUCCUACGGGAGGCAGCAGUGGGGAAUUUGCACAAUGGGGGAAACCCUGAUGCAGCGACGCCGCGUGCGGGAAGAAGGCCUUAGGGUUGUAAACCGCUUUCAGCCAGGGGAAGAAGAGAGUGAGUUGUUAAUAGCAUUCUAGAUUUGACGGU
rnacentral:rRNA from 1 species